rnacentral:rRNA from 1 species
GACGAACGCUGGCGGCGUGCUUAACACAUGCAAGUCGAGCGGAAAGGCCCUGCUUUUGUGGGGUGCUCGAGUGGCGAACGGGUGAGUAACACGUGAGUAACCUGCCCUUGACUUUGGGAUAACUUCAGGAAACUGGGGCUAAUACCGGAUAGGAGCUCCUGCUGCAUGGUGGGGGUUGGAAAGUUUCGGCGGUUGGGGAUGGACUCGCGGCUUAUCAGCUUGUUGGUGGGGUAGUGGCUUACCAAGGCUUUGACGGGUAGCCGGCCUGAGAGGGUGACCGGCCACAUUGGGACUGAGAUAAGGCCCAGACUCAUACGGGAGGCAGCAGUGGGGAAGAUUGCACAAUGGGCGGAAGCCUGAUGCAGCAAAGCCGCGUGCGGGAUGACGGCCUUCGGGUUGUAAACCGCUUUCGCCUGUGACGAAGAGUGAGUGACGGUAAUGGGUAAAGAAGCACCGGCUAACUACGUG